rnacentral:rRNA from 1 species
GGUGAACGCUGGCGGCGUGCUUAAGACAUGCAAGUCGAACGGCAGUCUUCGGACUGUAGUGGCGCACGGGUGAGUAACGCGUAACUGACCUACCCCAAAGUCGCGGAUAACGAUUCGAAAGAAUCGCUAAUACGUGAUGUGCUGUCAGAUUGUGUUCUGCCAGUAAAGAUUGAUUGCUUUGGGAUGGGGUUGCGUUCCAUCAGCUAGUUGGUGGGGUAAAGGCCCACCAAGGCGACGACGGAUAGCCGGCCUGAGAGGGUGGCCGGCCACAGGGGCACUGAGACACGGGUCCCACUCCUACGGGAGGCAGCAGUUAGGAAUCUUCCACAAUGGGCGAAAGCCUGAUGGAGCGGCGCCGCGUGAGGGAUGAAGGUCUUCGGAUCGUAAACCUCUGAAUCAGGGACGAAAGACACUUCGGUGGGAUGACGGUACCUGAGUAAUAGCACCGGCUAACUCCGCGCCAGCCGCCGCGGUAACAC